GAUGAACGCUAGCUACAGGCUUAACACAUGCGAGUCGAGGGGAAACGAUAGGGAAAGCUUGCUUUUUCUAGGCGUCGACCGGCGCACGGGUGAGUAACGCGUAUCCAACCUGCCCAUCACUUGGGGAUAACCUUGCGAAAGUAAGACUAAUACCCAAUGACGUCUCUAGAAGACAUCUGAAGGAGAUUAAAGAUUUAUCGGUGAUGGAUGGGGAUGCGUCUGAUUAGCUUGUUGGCGGGGUAACGGCCCACCAAGGCGACGAUCAGUAGGGGUUCUGAGAGGAAGGUCCCCCACAUUGGAACUGAGACACGGUCCAAACUCCUACGGGAGGCAGCAGUGGGGAAUAUUGGUCAAUGGACGAGAGUCUGAACCAGCCAAGUAGCGUGCAGGAAGACGGCCCUAUGGGUUGUAAACUGCUUUUAUAAGGGAAUAAAGUGAGUCUCGUGAGACUUUUUGCAUGUACCUUAUGAAUAAGGACCGGCUAAUUCCGUGCCAGCCGCCGCAGUAA
rnacentral:rRNA from 1 species